UUUUUUGAGAGUUCGAUCCUGGCUGAGGAUUAACGCUGGCGGCAUGCCUAAUACAUGCAAAUCGAGCGAGUGUAGCAAUACACGAGCGGUGAACGGGUGAGUAACACGUACCCAAUAUACCAUAAUGUGGGGGAUACCUAAAAGAAAUUUUAGCUAAUACCGCAUAGGAUA
rnacentral:rRNA from 1 species